rnacentral:rRNA from 1 species
AUUGAACGCUGGCGGCAUGCCUUACACAUGCAAGUCGAGCGAUUCUCUUCGGAGAAGAGCGGCGGACGGGUGAGUAACGCGUGGGUAACCUGCCCUGUACACACGGAUAACAUACCGAAAGGUAUGCUAAUACGAGAUAAUAUGCUUUUAUCGCAUGGUAGAAGUAUCAAAGUUUUUGCGGUACAGGAUGGACCCGCGUCUGAUUAGCUAGUUGGUAAGGUAACGGCUUACCAAGGCGACGAUCAGUAGCCGACCUGAGAGGGUGAUCGGCCACAUUGGAACUGAGACACGGUCCAAACUCCUACGGGAGGCAGCAGUGGGGAAUAUUGCACAAUGGGCGAAAGCCUGGUGCAGCAACGCCGCGUGAGCGAUGAAGGCCUUCGGGUCGUAAAGCUCUGUCCUCAAGGAAGAUAAUGACGGUACUUGAGGAGGAAGCCCCGGCUAACUACGUGCCAGCAGCCGCCGUAACAC